UUGCUGUAGCUAAUUAACUAAAAAUGGAAUUGAAUCCAUCCCCGAAGAAGGCAUGGGCCUGAAACUACCUAGGCCCCAACUGAAGGAGGGUGUACUGUUAGACAGGUAUAAAGUAAAACAGAAAUUGCUUUAGGCUUUAGAUCCAAGAAUGAGCCCACUAACAUCCAAACAUAGAAAAAUAAUCUUGCUGAAAUAAAACAGAGUCAAAAGCCAUGAGAACAAAAUCCAGAAAAAUACCUUAGAUGCACUUCGGAAGAAAUUUCAGCGAAUCGGUACAAUCCUCCAUCGUCUUCUUCACGGCUGGCUGAAACACCUCCGGUAUCAUCACGAUGGAUCCCUGUGAAAAAGCAAUUGCUUCAUAAUCGAUUGCGCUUUCAAAUCCGUGCCGUUCUUAUCCACACAUGAAGUCUCCGAAACUUCCACUUGAUUCUCACUCCGCUCCUCUGCUUCUGUUCGUUUUUCUGUGGAUUGAAGAUUUGGUUUGGCGGUUCGAUGAAGAUUGGUGCGGUUUGUUGUGAUUUCGUGUGGUGAAGGUUGAAGGUUCGGUGAACGGACAUUACGGUUACGGUUACAGAUUCGCAAUGGUUGAAGGUUUGGCCAAUGGAGAUUACGGUUACGGAUUCGCAAUGGUUGAAGGUUUGGCCAAUGGAGAUUACGGUUACGGAUUCGCAAUGGUUGAAGAAUUGAGGUUGAAGGAGUGGAAAUUACGGUUAUGGAGGUUGUAAGAGGGUUUUGGUUGAAGCAUUGAGGUUGAAGGAGAGGAAGAAUCUGGAAAAAAUAUUUGAGAGCGGGAAGAAGAAUUUAUAGAGUUAAGUUUGAUUUUUCCAUUGCCGUUUAUUUCAUUUCUAUUACCGUUUUGCAGUUUGCGUUGUGUGAUGCGUUUUAGUCGCAGAUGGUGCCGUUUGGAUUGAGGCUUGUAGCAGUUGCUCAUGCGGUUGCAGCUUCCGUUAGCUGCAUUUCAAGCCUUGCAUUUUGUUUGGCUCGCGUGGAAUUGCCUAGCUGCGGUGGCAGCCUCAUUGCCGUUUCCACGCUCUUGGCUUACGCUUGGAGCUUGUUGGAAUUAUGCAGCUUUUCACUUGCCUUGGCUUGAAGCCUUGAAUUGUAGCUUGUAUUGCAACUUGUGCGUUUGCAGCUUCUCUUUUCUUGCCGAUCAAUUUUGCACGUGGACACUGAAGCCUGCUGGAAAAUUGUGGCUACUCUUCAUUGUUAUUAUUAUUUUUAAUUAUUUAAUAAGCAAUGAUAAAAAAAGGUUAUGGAUUA